rnacentral:lncRNA from 1 species
AUAGAAUUAAAGGGAAUCAAAUCAUUAAUGUUUGCACAACUUGCACAUUUCAUAUGAAACACUUAAAUUGAUAUAAGGUGGGCCAACCUAAAGCCAACUAUAUUAUGAAGAAAAUAAACAUGAGGUUGAAAGACGUUUCUAAUUUAUCUGAUACAUUUCCCUUCUAUUUCACAAUGAAUGACUUCAUAGCAACAUCCCAUAUGCCUCUUCAACAACUAAUUACCUGAGCAUUAAGGAGUUUGAAAUUAGUUUAAAACUGUUUAUGAUAAAUGGAUUUUACUAAUUAUGGGAGGUAUUAAGGGCAAGUAACUAACUGGAAUGUCAGAGAUUGGGGCACCUGGAUUUCAAAACUAAAUCACAAGCUCUUUCCAAAGUCACUGCAUGUAACUGCAGGUGUGCUGGACAGUCCACCAGAGGCUAGCCUUUGCUCCCUACCUGCUCCACAGCAAGGCAGCAUCUUGAUGGAUGUCAAGGAAACAUAUCACAUGGUCUCUGGGUUCUACGCCACCGGGAACCACACCUGCUUAAAUGUUCUGGCUCUCCCUUGAGAUGCUAAGCUACCAGUUCUCUCUGCCAAAACUCAUCUCAGGCAAGAUGCCUGUACUCCUCCAGAAUCUCUUUCUCCUCUGUUGUAGUCAGGGGAAAUUCUACCACUUUAUUUCCUAAGAUGGCCAAAGGGGGGAAAAAAAAAUGACUGGAAAAAAAAAGUGACUGCAGAAAAAAAAAAAAAAGAUUAAAAAUUUAAUUGUAUCUAACAAAGGAGUCAUAAAGGAAAAGGAGCAUCUCUGAGACUAAAACCUUAGAAUUGGUUGGUCUGUAUGCAUCUGAACUCUUAAGCAAUAACCUUUCAUUAACUUAGGGCAUUGAAUAAUACAGAUUUAAUAAGAUAAACAGGAAAGAAGUCUUAUGGCUCUGAAAUGUGAAAACGCAAAUAUUCACACCCAUUUCCACAUUUCAGUGGCCUUUAUUAUUACAUUUGCAGUGAUGCAGCAAUAAAAUUAGACAUCAAAACUUGCACCUUUGUCUUCGGUCUAGAAACUGAUUAAUGUCAAAAUGUCACAUCCUUUCCACCGUCAAUAAACAGAGACUGGAAGCUGGUUAUUUCUCUAAAAGGUUUUAAUGGCACCGAGAGAAAAUGAGUUGAUAGCUUCAUAAUCAUUUGGAUUUUCGAGUACUCCAUUUUUUAAAAAAGGCUCUAUAAUCUCAGAGAUUAAGGAAAAAAAAAGGGGAAUGACUUACAGAACCACUCCUACCCAGGAAAAAUCCACUAUACUCUGAAAUGUGAUGAAAGGGGAAGAUGGUUUAAUGCAUUUUGUCCAUCACAUUUCUGAGCUUCUCAUCUGUUGUGUUCCUGGGAUAAAGCCUUUAUGGCCUGUAUCUGUAUCUUUAGAGCAUCAUAAUGCCAAAUUACAUGACUCAGAUCUGCUUCAACCCACUCUUAGGGACAACUCUGAAAUAAAAUUAGAAAUGGCACACUAAUCCUUGGCUUUUUAUUAUAAUUUUAUUUUAUUUUUAAGUAGCACUUACAUUACUACAAAAUGCCCCUUGUGUCUGCUAGACUCCUGUAUAAAUGAAGUGGAAAUUAGAUACACAAGCAUGCAUACUACAUUCAAUCAUGGAAAACCUUCAUUCUUGUGUAAAUUAAAAUGAUCCUCUGCACAGAUGCAAAAGAACUCAUCCAAGUAAAAACAUUUACAUGUAAUUUACAGAAUGUUUUCUCCCUUGGAAGCAAUUGCUUCUUCCAGAAUCAUAAAAACCUACAUUUUAAAUGUUGACUAAUGCUCAAAGACACUGAACCAAGCUAAUAAAGAGCAGAAAUUGAAAGAGAUCCAAAUGGGAAAAUGUAAAAUAACCAUAUAUUUUGAUCUUUUCAGGAAAUGUUUAUCUGACAGUAAUUUUACGUACUGUAUUAAACAAAUUACCUAAAUUAUAAUUACUUGUCUUCUAAAUUUCUUUCCUAAUAACAGGGCAAAACAUGUAUGUACAAGAACUUGGUCUUUUGAUGGGUUGUUUGAUUUCUAUGGUAAGUUUUUAUUGUAAACAUUGUUCUUGGCUCUCACGCUAGCAGGUCCACCAUAAUGGCUUCCCUGACAUCAGAGGGUCUGGCUUGCUCAGUAAGUGCCCUGUUCACAGAAUGAGGGGCUCUGCCAGUGUCACCCAAUAACUGCCAGCACAGGAGAGGUGACUUCGACUCAGAGCAUGCACCGUUGACUGCUCACUGUUUUUUCUACUCCCUCGUUGACCACUUUAUCACCAACAAAGUUCCCAAAGGGGGCAAGCCACUUCAGCUCCCGCUGCCUUAUUUUCCUCAUCUAGUAAAUUAGGAUAAUAAAUAGAGAUCUUGGGGUGUGGUGGUGAGAAUAAACAUGAUAACAUCUAGCUCCAUGUCUAAGAAAAUGCCGAGUAAGGAGAGGGGUGAGAGAGGGGGAAUGAUUUUAUCCCAAGCUUAAGUCAAGAAAGCUGCAACUGAGACGGAAAUUGAGCCCCAGGGCUUUUGGCAGCUCAGGCAAAAGAGGAAAUAUGAUGCAUCAAAGAGCUCACAUUAUCUUAUGAACAGAAGCAUCCCCUUUCAUCAGAAGAAAAAUUCCCUGCACUGACGACCAAACUCUUCAGAGGACUUUCCCCUGAUUUCUCUGGGGCACUGCGGGACACGAGGGCUGGUUAUGGACCGCCCCCCUCCCUACCGACCCCUACGCCUACCCCAACCAGCUCUGUGAAAUGCAACGGAAUUCUUCCUGUGCUUCUUUCUCAGAUCAACCUCAGACCAAAGCCAGGGGCAUUGUGUUAAAUUCCUAACUCUGUGAAGACAUGGCUGUGGGAAGCUGGAGUUACACACCCCAAGUGUAUAACUUUCUCGUGGUCAGACCUGAUGAAACGGAGAAAUCCCGGAGGAGCUGAUGUUUGGCAGGUCCCUGGGGCUCCUGCUCUCUGCUAGGAUUUGACGGGAGCAGACAUUUCAGAAUUGAGAUGCAGAGCACAGCCAGCAGCCACUGUGCUUUGUUGUAGGAAAGGAGCUCAGGUGCUUUCGGUCUCUGACAAGCAGGAGUCAAAGCUGACGCUUUCCUAUGAAGAUCAGGUGCUGAAGGGCCACCUCCGCUGUUGGGAGGCGCACCCUGAGAUGACAGGUAAGGCGGCAGCUUUGGACUUUGAUGCUCCGUACCCCAGGAUGAUGUGACAAGGCCGCCAAAGAGCUUGAGGAUCUGAUGUCCCACUUACCUACCUCUGCCCCAGGGAGCCUUGACAUGAGCCUUGGAGAAAGCUUCAUUUUGACUGGGGCGCCAUCGAAAUGAACCUGCUGGAGUGACUUAGUUGCCAGCCUUACGCCUAGAUAAUGAAAUGCCUGGCCCUGCCGGGCUGCUUUUCAUUCCUCCCUCUCCCUGAAUGCUAAGAGCUCUUGCCCAAACAAAUGUCUUGGUUUCCCCAUAAUUGCCACUGAGCUGUCAUUUCUGAAAAUAACUAAGCAAUGGCUUCUGUUGCUUGUUAUGGCCACUCCUGGGCCGUGAGGGUAGAAUGGAGUCAUCCACAUGGAAGAGGUCCUUAUCAUCCUAUUUGCUAUGGCAGGUGGCUCUCCAACUCGGUUCAUCUAAAAUCUGCGUCAAACUGCUUAAGGAAAUGUUAAAAAGAGAGCUUAAAUCCAGCACCGGGUCCAGGGUACACAGCCCUGAAAAUAAUACCCUUGCUGAAGGAAGAAGCCUUUGACAAGGAGAAGGAUGUGAUGCUGAGGGUUAUUUUUACAAUCGGAAAGGUUUCCUUAGAGACCGAGGAUAAUGACACAAAGAAUGAGAUCAACAUUUGGAUUCCUACGUUAGAACUGUCUUCAGAAAAGUACGUGUUUCCCCGGUGGGAUGGAUGGUGGAAAGUACGGAAGAUGUUACAUCUGAGUGGCAGUGAAGAGCUGCUGAAGGGCGAGCAGGCCACGUAAAGGAGAGGAGCCCAGGUAAAGCAGAGAGGAUCCCAGCCCGAGGCAGCAGCAUUCCGAAGUGCAAUUAUCUCAGGCACCCAAAGAAAGCUUCCAGCCCCAAACCACAUGCUCCACAGAUUUUGAAAAUCCAUUUACAAAGCAAUUCUUUCUACUAAGCUUCAUCCUCUUUCUGACCUAUUAUAUUACAAUAUUUAAGGAAGGCACAGUAUAUUAAGUCUCUACCAGUGGCGUGUGAAUGUGUUUAUCAGAUGUUUUUAUCCAGUAUAGCAGACGUCUGGAAGGAAAGACGGGACAGGGUGUGUUGUGUGUGUGUGUGUGUGUGUGUGUGUGAGAUAGAAAGAGACAGAGACAGACAAAGAUUGGCAUAGAAAGAGGGAGUGAAGGAGAAACAGAGACAGAGAGAGGGAGAGACAGAGACUUAUUUGCACUUGCAGGGGAAAAAAAAGGCAUAUGUGAAUAAAUGGGAAAAGAGAGACAUUAGGACUUUACCUAUCUGGACAACCUAGGACUGGUUACCUGGCAUCUCAGAAUCUCAGUUCCUUCCAGAGAAGGUGGACAUAAAAAUGCUUCCUCUUGAAUCCACACUUGACAGGAUUUUUGUGAGGGCUAAAUAAAAUAACACAUGCAAAACUCCUGGUCCACAGUAGACAUUCUGAAGGCAUUUAUUUUAUUGCCUGUGUUAGUUUCCUCCUUUAUAAUUUUGCCUAAGAGCCACCCUAAGAAGAAGCAGGAGGAAGAAGGUGCUGAGGAGUCGCUAGAAGAACUGGAGGCGAGAGGAAGUUCAUUUCCCUUCCCAUCAUCUCCUGUGUUGUGCAAAAAGAGAGAAUCUACCUCUAGGUGUCCAGCACCAUGGGUUAGAGCCAGCUAAUUUAUGUUUACAUACAAUGUUCCAUCAGGGAGUCACAAUCCAGUUGGUUUCUAGGAGAACAUGCUUAUCGGCACGCCAUUAUUCUUUAAACAUUAGCUGAGAGCUAGUCGGUAAAUGGUCCUUUAGGACAGCCUUUAAAAAACAAUCCCCUAUUGCUUUUUGUGCACUGUUUUCCAAAGCCUCUGCUAAUAACCGCAUUUCAAUCAGAUCUCUUAGUACAAAUGAACCUCCCAUCAAAACUCUAAGGGCAACUCAUGAUAUUAUCUUUGCCAAUUGAAAUUCUCAAGGUAAAAUACAUAUGUGCUAUAAUUGGCACCUUUGAAACAUCAUUUUCCCAUGGAAAGCUUUCAGAGCUGCUACGAGCAAAUGCAGCCUGGCAGGUCCAGAAAGGUGAGGUCUGAGCAUGAAUGCUUCAUUACCAGCAGGGUUUUACCCAGGUGACAGAGUUUCAGCAAUCUGUCAGUCAUGCCCAUCUCUGGUCUCACAGAAAUCCAAAGGCACUAAGCUCCAGGCAUCAGCCUGUUCAGAUAAAUAAUGACCCUAGCUGAGCCAUUUCACGGAAAAGCAAAAUUCUGUGUCAAUAUUGCUUGCCCAGGAGCGGUUGUGAAAUUCACAGCUUCUUCAGCACAGCAUGGAGAGCGGAGCAAUGCAUAUGGGUGAGCACUAAACAGUGAUAAGAGUCCUGAUUUCAAACAGGGGUAAUGGCAUAUUUUUGUGGAUCUGUGAUUCCUUUAAUUUCCAUUACAGGGAAGCACCUUCAUCUGAUGUUACAGCAAAGAUUCAAUACCCAAGCCCUUCCUUAAAAUAAUUCCCUUCCAAAAUAUUUGUUCAAAAUUACAUUUUUGCUAGGGUUCUCCAGAGAAACAGAACCAACUGUUGGUUCUGUUUCUCUGGCGAAUAUAUAUUGGAGAGAGAGAGACUGAUAUUUUGAAAUCUAUUUUAAGGAAUAGGCUCAUGUUAUUGCAAAAGCUGGCAACCCUGGAAUCUACCAGACAGGCUGGUAGGCAGGAGGCCAGAGAAGAGUUGACGUUGCAAUCUUGAGUCCAAAGGCAGUCUGAGGGCAGACUUCCUUUCCAGGGGACUUCAGUCUCUUCUCCUAAGGCCUUCAACCGGCUGCAUGAGGCCCACUCACAAAUGGAGGGUAACCUGCUUUAUGCAAAGUCUACUGAUUCAAACGCUAAUCACAGCUAAAAAAAAUACCUUCACAGCAACAUCUAGACUGGUAUUUAACCAAGCAACCAGGUGCCACAACCAAGCCAAGUCGGCACAUAAUUUUAUCACACUUGUUAAAACAAAUGUGUCAAAUCCCCUUUGACACUAUAUUUCUGUCUUUCCUGUAUAUAAUCACCUGUGCCUUCAUGCUUGCGUGCCUGCUAAUGUGAAGUUGAGGUCUCUGCUGUAAGGUUGAAUUAAUGAGUUUAUCAUGCACACCAUUAUGGCAAAAUGUAUAGAAUCAUCUUUUACCUGAAAUUUACCUGCAAACCCUUGUGUCAUCAGCCCUCCAUAUCCAUGGCUCCUCAUCCACAGAUUCAACCAACCAUGAGUCAU